GUGUCAGCCGCCGCGGUAAGACAGAGGUUGCAAACGUUGUUCGGAAUUACUGGGCAUAAAGCGCACGUAGGCGGUCCGUUAAGUCAUGUGUGAAAUCCCCCGGCUCAACCGGGGAAUUGCGCCUGAUACUGGCGGGCUAGAGGUCGAUAGGGGUGAGCGGAACUCCAGGUGGAGCGGUGAAAUGCGUAGAUAUCUGGAGGAACACCGGUGGCGAAAGCGGCUCACUGGAUCGAAACUGACGCUGAGGUGCGAAAGCUAGGGUAGCAAACGGGAUUAGAAACCCGCGUAGUCC
rnacentral:rRNA from 1 species